rnacentral:rRNA from 1 species
UACGAAGGGUGCAAGCGUUGUUCGGAAUUACUGGGCGUAAAGGGCGCGUAGGCGGUCUGUUAAGUUCGGUGUGAAAGCCCCCGGCUCACCUGGGGAACUGCGCCGGAAACCGACAGACUCGAGUACCGGAGAGGAGGGUGGAAUUCCUGGUGUAGCGGUGAAAUGCGUAGAUAUCAGGAGGAACACCGGUGGCGAAGGCGGCCCUCUGGACGGAUACUGACGCUGAGGCGCGAAAGCGUGGGGAUCAAACAGG